GGAAUGCAAAAUGGAUUCCAGAAUGUCGGCGUUAACAGAUUCUUGCUCCUUGCGUCUGAGUGCGAAUACACGUUCAAUUCGAUUUUUUUAAGUAUGUGUACCAAAUGAUCCGUUGGGAAGGUUGUAGCCGCCGCAGCUGCUAGCCAAAGUCAAAGGAUUUUCUGCUUGAAUUGGUACGACCUGGAUAUCCUUCUCUUCUUUUCGUCCUUUGUUCUGUUAUUUUUUUUUUUCUCGGGUGUCUAUUUUUGCUUCUGUAUGAAUUGGACUCAAGUUUCGUUAAAGAAGACAUUGCUUCGAAAAGAAAAAAUGGUAUAUUUUGUGUUCUAUUGUAAACAAAAAAACAAUUUUCUCUUUGAAUUUGUAAAUUUUCUAACCAGACUUCUGUUUUGCGGCUGAGGAUGAAACAACCGAGCUGUUAAGACUUGCAGAUGGGCCAUCGUAACCUUAGCAUCGAAGGGUUGCAUUGCAAAACAUGGAAAAGAGGUUGGUUUAGAAUAGCCACCGUCAUUUUACAAAUAGCUUCAGCUUUUAUAGAGUUUCGCUCUAUUUUUCCAUUAGUUAGGAUGAUCAUUUUGGUUUCGGCUCAGAUUUAGUUUGGUUUUAUUAAACCAUUUGUUUUUUAUAUUGAA